ensembl:lncRNA
AUGGGAAAACAGAGACCCUGAGGAAAAUGCCAAAUGGAACACAACCAGAAAGCUGGAAAGCCAGAACCAAAGGCUGGCCUUGCUGUUGUUUCUGCUCCACAUCUCUGUCCUUCAAUAGGUAUUAAUAUCCUGCACUACCAUGAUAUACAGGGAAAGUUGGCCCCAUUACCAGUUACAAAGAUUUUUUCCUUCCUGUGUCUGGUUCUCAGAAUGAUAUUUGGGAAUUCUCACUAGUGAUGCUGAUUAGAUGGCUAAUGACAAGUAGAACUUGAUUGACUGUAUAAAGAAAGCUGAUCGCAGAAGAAUUGAUGCUUUUGAACUGUGGUGUUGGAGAAGACUCCUGAGAGUCCCUUGGACUGCAAGGAGAUCCAAACAGUCCAUCCUAAAGGAGAUCAGUCCUGGAUGUUCAUUGGAAGCACUGAUGUUGAAGCUGAAACUCCAAUACUUUGGCCACCUCAUGC